rnacentral:tRNA from 1 species
GCUUUAAUAAUAUAUAAUUUAAUAUAUCAAUUUUGUAAAUUGAAAAAGGAUUUUCCUUAAGGUU